rnacentral:rRNA from 1 species
UACGAAGGGGGCUAGCGUUGCUCGGAAUCACUGGGCGUAAAGCGCACGUAGGCGGAUUGCUAAGUCAGGGGUGAAAUCCUGGAGCUCAACUCCAGAACUGCCUUUGAUACUGGCAACCUUGAGUCCGGGAGAGGUGAGUGGAACUGCGAGUGUAGAGGUGAAAUUCGUAGAUAUUCGCAAGAACACCAGCGGCGAAGGCGGCACUCUGGGCUGGAACUGACGCUCAGGAGCGAAAGCGUGGGUAGCGAACAGG